GUCGGGGGGCCCAGGCUGUCUCGGCCAGUCACCUGGUGCCGCCCUGCAGAGGAGCUGAACUUCAGGGGAGAGACCACCCCCUCCCUCGCCCUGGAAACAGAUCCCGUGCAACCCCGGACCCUGGUGAGCACGGAAGCACUGCUGGUGCUCAGGUGACCCCUUGACGGGGGAGAAGGCAAAUCUAAAGGUAUCAAUCCCCGUGUCCUGGAGAUGACACAGACCCCGAGUGACCCCCACAGGGGAGGUCCCGGCCGGGCCUGAAGCCCAGAACCUCUCCGGGCCCGGCUCAGCCAAGAUGACAGAUCUGCGUGGGAAAGAGGUGCUAACAGCCCGGAAUGUGUGAUCAGCCUGAGCUGAGCUCAUAAAUAAUCCCUCACGGACCCCUCUCCCUGCGCCAUCAUCAUCCCCGAAGGAGGGAAAUUACUGCAGGGGGCCUGGACUAGGCCUUUCAGUCCAGGAAGGGAGGUUGGGCAGGAGCUGGUAAAGAGAGGCUCUUCCUUUCCAAGAAGUGGCCGCAAAAAAUGGUCUUGGCCUUCCACAGAGAAGGCUUCGAUCAGAGGUGAGAAAGAAGGUUGUAAUAACAUAGAUUUUGAGAGGCCCACGGAGGAGGCAAAACCAGAGAAAACGUAGCCUGGGGGGAGCACUGCCUGGCCGAGGGGAGGUCUGUAGAGGCCACGAACCCCCUGUUGCAGACUUGGCACUGGGUGUUGGGAAGUCAGUGUCUGAAGUUAUUCACAAAAGCUGCUUUAAUGCAUCCCAAGAGACAUCAGCUGCAUUUCCAAGAAUCAGGCUAUCCAAAUAAAAA